rnacentral:lncRNA from 1 species
AAGCAGUUUGCCAUUUAGUACAUGUGAUAUGAUCCUGAGUUUAUUGAAACAUAAACAUAUGACGUGCAUGAGAAAAUAUUUGGGAGUAUCCAUGAAAAAUCCCAAUGCCAGUUUGGGUAACUAAAUGCAAUGUGCUUGUCUUUAUUUUUAGAUAAAUUUACAAUGAAUAUAUUACUUUUGUAAUAAAAAGCAUGAUAAAUAUAAUAUAAAAAGGAAUGAUUAAUUUUCUAUCUAUUAGAAGAUUUGACACAGGAGAUUGUUAACUUUUAAUUAAUCAACUGAACUGAAUAGGUACAAUUUGAAAAAGCAUUUUAGAGGACUGGAACAAUAAUUACGUAAUACUCCACAUUGUUACUCUCUGCAGAAAGACCUUCUUAAUAUUUAAAAGCAGUUUAAAAAAUCUGUAAAUUUCCAAGCAAAUAGAAAAAUCUGUGCUAUUCUGGACUUUUACAAGACACUAGAGCCUUUGUGAGUCUUUUCUAGAGCAAGACAGAGUGAAAUAAAAUAGAAUAAAUUAAAAUGAAAUAAUUUAAAAAAUUAGAGCAUUAGCAAAGGUAACUAGGCCACUUUAAAUAUACAAAUAAACUCUUACAAUUUUUUUUGUUAUUUUUAGAAAAAAGUUUACACUUCCUUCACCUUUUAGGAGUGAAAGGAGCAAAGGAAGUAAGAAAGGCUUGGGCCGGAUGUGGUGGCUCAUGCCUGUAAUCUCAGCACUUUGGGAUGCCGAGUCGGUGGAUCACCUGAGGUCAGGAGUUCGAGACCAGCCUGGCCAACAUGGUGAAACCCUCGUCACUACUAAAAAUACAAAAAAUUAGCUGGGCAUGGUGGUGGACACCUGUAAUCCCAGCUACUAGGGAGGCUGAGGCAGGAGAAUUGCUUGAACUCUGGAGGCAGAGGCUGCAGUGAGCCCAGAUCAUGCCACUGCACUCCAGCCUGGGCAACAACAGGAAAACUCCAUCUCAAAAAGAAAAAAAAAAAGAAAAAAAGAAGAAGAGGAGGUGACCAAACAGAACUUCUCCAGUACAAGUCUGUCUGUCAUUCCAUUUGACAUUGUAUUGUAGGCAUAAGCCCUGCCUUCCAGUUCCUUGGCAGUGGUGAAGCAGUAUGGAGCUGGGGCAGGGAGGUGGCACAUUAUAGGACUGUGAGAACACUGCUCCUUUAUACAUAAAAUUCCUACACAAUGGAUCACUUGAGGUCAAGAGUUUGAGACCAGCCUGGCCAACAUGCAAUCAGAAGAAAGGACCCCUGCUAACACUGGAUCUCUGGCUUCUGGGAUCCAAAACGACUCAGUGGUCAGCGGAAACUUGAUGAUAGCAUAGUGGUCAAGCUUGUUUCUCCUGGGAGCGCUCUUCCGAGGAUAUUUGGGCUGUCUCCGGAGUCGCAGUGUCUUCGGCCGCCGGAAGGAAGAAGAGUAAGGGGGAAUGUGUGGAAGUACCCAACAUGGAUGGGGAGAGCUGGAAACGUCUGCCUGCUCUGAGCUGUGUUGGAAACCUGAGGAGGAAGUUGCCAUUAAUUUCUGCAAGAAAAAAAUGAAAGUGUACCAGUCAGAGUUGUUAAAGCAGAAAAGGAUUUUACUGAAAGAACAUAGGAUUGCUCCCAGAGUUUCCAGGAGGGCUGAUGAACAAGCCUUGAGAAGCCAGCAGGAAGAAUGGCAGGCCAGGCAGGCAGAGCCAUGGCCAAGACUGUACCACAGAUCAACCUCAGGGAAGCACACUGAUGCCUCUACAGGGACUCAGACAUCUCAGUUUCAAUCAGUACCACCAAUGCCACUGAACACUGGACUUGGCUGCUGCUGCCUUCACCACUGUAAUGGAUUCUCCACUUUGCCUGUUUCUUUGUCCAAAUUCACAGUGCCAGCCUGCUGCAUUUAAUUGACCAGGUCUGUUUCAGUCACCCAUGACUUAAACUGCCAGGGGUGCUGGGGAACAAUCAUCAGGUUUUGGGGUUCCCAUGCUGGGAAGUGGGCAUGAGCAGUGAAUGGAGUUAAUAGAGGGAUGAUAUACCAGGAAGUUAAAAAAAAAGAAAUUACAGUCAUCUACAAUAUUGAGAGAAAUGAUUUUUUAUAAAAAGCAGUUUUUCUUCUAUGCUGCCUAUGUGAAAGCAAUAAAUAUCCAAAGCAAUGUUAUGAGUAGUGUAUUAAAAUUAACAUGGGUAUUUUAAGACUUCUUUGGGAGGUGAGAGCAGGUCCAUAUGUACAUACAAAUCAUUUUUGAGAUGGCCCCUGGAGGGGGUUCUGUGGUAAGAACCUGAGGAGGGCCUCUUAGAGUAGUCCUGAUUGAUAGUUGUCAAGAAAACAGGGACUUUACUUGACAACUACAAGAAUCUUAAUUUUUCCAACCACCAGUGAACUUGGAAGAAGACUUCAAGUUUUUGAUGAGAUCAUGGCAUUGACUGACAUCUUGAUUUCAGCCUCGUGAGAUGUUGAUUAGAGGACCAAGUUAUCCUGCUCUGGACUCCUUACUUAAAGAAACUCAGAUAUUAGAUUUGUGUUGUAUUAAGUUGCUAAAUUUAUGGUAAUUUGUUAUGCAGCAAUAGAAAACUAAUACAGUGACAAAUAAAAUAUUACCAAAAUGUUCUUCAAUAGGGACAGAUUAAGUAAAUGAUGAUACAUUCACACAAUGGAGUAAUAUUAGUUUUAAUAGGAAUAAAGAAUAUCUGUGUGAGGUGUUUUUAUAUGCUAACUUUUGUAUAAGAAAGACUAUGAAUACAUACACACCAAUGCUUAUAUUUUCAAUAUGAAAUAGUAGGAUGAUAAAUCAAAUUAAAUAAAAAAUGGUUACUUAGAAGAGGAGUCAAGGACCAAAGAGAAGAAAACAGGAUUGACAAGAGAAUUUUGUAAAUAUACCUUGUUAUGUUUUUGACUUCGGUACUAUGUAAAAUGUUUACAUAAUGAAAGCUAAAAUUAAAUAAUAAAAAGAAAUCCCUAAACAUUAAAAAUGGAAAUAAACAAACCUAGCUGCAUAUCAAUUUGGUAGCAAAAUUACACAGAUAAAUUUAUUAUUUAAAGUGACUUUAAAGCACAGUAUUUUGACUAUUUCUGCUUAGUGGGAUGUAUCUAAGGACAGAUUUAUGUAUAUGGCCUAGGCAACCACUAAUUGACUUCAAGUAGGACAAACACAAAGAAGUCCACAAUCAGGUGCAUUAUAGAAAAUGCUGAAAAACAGACAGAGAGAAAAUCUUGAAAGGAGUGAGAAACAAAUUGAGUAAUUUCUUCAUAUACGCACAAGCCCCAAUAAAAUUAAUAAAUGAUUUCUCAUCAGAAACAAUGGAAGCCAGAGAUAGUGGGAUGACAUAUUCAAAGAGCUGGAAGAAAAAAAUUGUCAACUAAGAAUCUUUUAUUCUGCAAAAAAGAUGAAAUAAAGACAUUCCCAGAGCAACAGAAAAUGAGACAAUUAGUGGCUAGGAAACCCACCUUACCUGAAAUACUAAAGGAAGUUUUUCACACUGAAAGCAAGUGAGUCCAGAUCUUCAUUCAAAUGCACCCCCUAAAACAAAGAGUACUGGUAAAGGUAAUUGUGUAAUAUAAAAUAAGUAUAAAUAAAAUAUUUCUUUUUAUUUCUUUUCUUAGGUACAGUUUAACAGCAAUUGUAUAAAACAAUAUGCAUAUACAGUUGAACUUUGAACAACAUGGGUUUAAAUUGUGUGGGUCCCCUUAUAUGUAGAUAUCUUUCAAUAAAUAUAUUGGAAAAUUUUUUGGAGAUUUGUGACAAUUUGAAAAAAAACUCAUUGAUGAGCUGCUUAGCCUAGAAAUAUAAAACAAUUAAGAAAAAGUUAGGUAUGGCAUGAAUGCAUAAAAUAUAUGUGGAGACUAUUUUAUCAUUUACUACCAUAAAAUGUAUAAAAAUCUAUUAUAAAAAGUUAAAAUUGAUUAAAAUUUAUGCACACAAAC